GUGAGCAACCUGCCCCUGACUCUGGGAUAAGCGCUGGAAACGGCGUCUAAUACUGGAUAUGUGACGUGACCGCAUGGUCUGCGUCUGGAAAGAAUUUCGGUUGGGGAUGGGCUCGCGGCCUAUCAGCUUGUUGGUGAGGUAAUGGCUCACCAAGGCGUCGACGGGUAGCCGGCCUGAGAGGGUGACCGGCCACACUGGGACUGAGACACGGCCCAGACUCCUACGGGAGGCAGCAGUGGGGAAUAUUGCACAAUGGGCGCAAGCCUGAUGCAGCAACGCCGCGUGAGGGAUGACGGCCUUCGGGUUGUAAACCUCUUUUAGCAGGGAAGAAGCGAAAGUGACGGUACCUGCAGAAAAAGCGCCGGCUAACUACGUGCCAGCAGCCGCGGUAAUACGUAGGGCGCAAGCGUUAUCCGGAAUUAUUGGGCGUAAAGAGCUCGUAGGCGGUUUGUCGCGUCUGCUGUGAAAUCCGGAGGCUCAACCUCCGGCCUGCAGUGGGUACGGGCAGACUAGAGUGCGGUAGGGGAGAUUGGAAUUCCUGGUGUAGCGGUGGAAUGCGCAGAUAUCAGGAGGAACACCGAUGGCGAAGGCAGAUCUCUGGGCCGUAACUGACGCUGAGGAGCGAAAGGGUGGGGAGCAAACAGGCUUAGAUACCCUGGUAGUCCACCCCGUAAACGUUGGGAACUAGUUGUGGGGUCCAUUCCACGGAUUCCGUGACGCAGCUAACGCAUUAAGUUCCCCGCCUGGGGAGUACGGCCGCAAGGCUAAAACUCAAAGGAAUUGACGGGGACCCGCACAAGCGGCGGAGCAUGCGGAUUAAUUCGAUGCAACGCGAAGAACCUUACCAAGGCUUGACAUAUACGAGAACGGGCCAGAAAUGGUCAACUCUUUGGA
rnacentral:rRNA from 1 species